AGUGAACGCUGGCGGUAGGCCUAACACAUGCAAGUCGAACGGCAGCACAGUAAGAGCUUGCUCUUACGGGUGGCGAGUGGCGGACGGGUGAGGAAUACAUCGGAAUCUACUUUUUCGUGGGGGAUAACGUAGGGAAACUUACGCUAAUACCUCAUACGACCUACGGGUGACAGCAGGGGAUCUUCGGACCUUGCGCGAUUGAAUGAGCCGAUGUCGGAUUAGCUAGUUGGCGGGGUAAAGGCCCACCAAGGCGACGAUCCGUAGCUGGUCUGAGAGGAUGAUCAGCCACACUGGAACUGAGACACGGUCCAGGCUCCUACGGGAGGCAGCAGUGGGGAAUAUUGGACAAUGGGCGCAAGCCUGAUCCAGCCAUACCGUGUGGGUGAAGAAGGCCUUCGGGUUGUAAAGCCCUUUUGUUGGGAAAGAAAAGCAGCAGGUUAAUACCCCGCUGUUCUGACGGUACCCAAAGAAUAAGCACCGGCUAACUUCGUG
rnacentral:rRNA from 1 species